GAUAAAAAUGCCAGUGUUUACUAUGCAGACAAGAAAAGUUACAUUUGCUGUUCAGGUGUUUGAAAGUUCAGUGUUACUUAAAAUUUUUGAACAAGGCAUUUUAAGUUGUUAGUUCUCCUUUAUUGAGGUUACGGGUAGGUAGAAGAGCAGUACCAUAAGAGGAGUAGAACAGGAAGAAGGCAGAAUUGAGACCUUUCAAAGUUUUGGCCCAAGUGAGGGGGCAUGGGGGCAUCAUUUGAGCUCCCGCCUCAGGUGCCAAAAUGAUGUGGGCCGGCCCUUCAAGUGACUUGGCUCCCAGGUGAAUGGCUAAUCUGUAGCCAAGAGAUACGGGUUUUAAUCCUGGUUUUGACACUGAUUUGCUGGCUGACUGGGUGAAUCAGUUAACUUUUUGGAGCUGCUCUUUCCCCACUCUCUACAAUGGAAUAAUGAUACCGUUGUUCUAAAUAAGGUCUGCAAAGUGCUAAAUAAAUGCAAAGUUUUAAAGUCACUUAAUUCUGGAGAUGAGAAUAAAUCCUGAGAUCUCUGCAUUCCUAUAUCUGUGCUUAAUCCAUUAGGAUGUAUGACAGGGGUGCCUCAACCAGUGCCAUUACCAAAUAUGAUCAGAAUUAUUUUGCUUUCAUGGACAUUUUGCAAACACAAAAACAGGUAAAUUUUGACCAGUUUCCACUCCCCCACUUUUUAGGUGUACUUCAGCCAUCUGAAAAGAGUAUUUACAUGUAUACCCAUUUUAUUUGUGGGUAAACUGAGGCAUAGAGAAGUUAAAUUACUUGCCUAAUAUACAGCAAGUUAGCAGCAGACCUGGGAAGAGAAUCCUGGAGUCCUGAUUCUCAUACCUGUCAUAACUGGACCAUUCUCUCUCGUUGCAUGCUCAUGGCUGGUGGACCGGAUGGAUGUUCUGUGCAAAAACUCUGAAGCAAACGCCACUGCUUAUUAUUUUAAAUUCCACAGUUACUCUUUGCAGGAAACAUAUGUCUUACACUGGGAAUGCAAACCUUGAUUCUAUGGAUCAAAGCUUUAUCUCAGAGUAUUUUUAUAAAAAAUAAAAACCGUAAAAUAGAGCAAUGUUCUACCAAAUUGGGUAAACUUGGCUCAUACUGGAAAUACCCCUUUGUGGUGUCAGUGCUUGUCUAUACUCAAACACAAAAGAGCUUCUAGCAAUUAGUGAAUAUUCGACAACAACAGGCAGCAAAUGGUGGAAUCCUCAGACCCUUGCCUAUACUACUGCAAAUUAAUAAAUAAUUAACCAAGUGUAUGAUGCUUUGCAACACACUCAAGCUCCCUGAAUUGAAUUCCUGUCAUGCAUGGCUAGUAAUGAAAGUUUUAAUAAUUAUAGCUUGGUUAUGUAAUGGCUGUUUACAGCUAGAGAGUGCACACACUUGCCCUUUUCUCAAUGGCGCUACAAUAAUGAUCAUUAAUCAAUGUUUGGAAUAAUCUACCAAUGAUGGUAACUUAGUGCAACUGAAAACAAAGCAUGGGAAACAGAAAAUAAGCAGGAUGCCUCGUGGUAUCAAGCUUCUUACAGAGAUGACCUGAUAUUUGAAAACACCCUGUAUCUUUUCACCACUUUUGACAUUCAGGAAAUGAAAAGCAAUGUCAGGUUAGACAAUUGGAAAGCCAGCAUUUUCUUAUGACAGAUGUCUCUGUCAUGGUGUAGUCUCCAAAUCCCACCUGAUUAGUUUGCUGGUCAAAUCAGGCUUGUUGUUGUUUUUUUACACUACAGUCAGCUGUGCAGAGACUGUGUUCAGCUCUCCCAUGUGCUGUAUCAUCAACAAAACUGCCACCUAAGUUUUCAUUGCAGAAUGUUUACAGUGGCUAGUCAGUGCUGAAUAAAGACUUAAUGAGAGGGACUCAGUCAUCUCUUCACCCUGGCCUCUCUCCGCUGCUGUGCUGGCAGAGAGGGGCCAUAAACAGCCAGCAAGGGGAGAAUUCCCUUGGGGCAAGCACUGCUCUGGACAGCUGUAAGUGGCCUUUCCUUGCUCCACUGAAACCCUGGCAUAGGGCUUAUGUGAGGAUUGUUGGAGAGGACGGAGCUAUAGCACGUGCUGCUAUAGCAUUUCCAGUUUGUCCUGCGACCCUAGGCUGCCAGAGUUGUGCCAUGAGCUGUUUCAGCCCCUAGACAGCCCAAAACUGGGAGAGCACACGUGGCAUAAAGCCACCAUCAUCCCUCGCUCUCCCUCUCCAUCUUGUGUCUCCUGGAGAAGUAGCCCAGAAUCCCGGCCAUAGGCUGUUACUGGGGGGCGUGGAAUCUAUUAGGCAAGUGCGUGUUAAAUAAGAAGCGGUGCCUUGCAAAAUACAGUCAGUGAGGUGAAAGCACUUGAGUGGUGCCUCCAUAUUGCUGCAUUUUCUGUUGUAGGCUAAGGGGCCAGACCCUAGGUGGCCUGUACAGCUCUCCCUGUUCACUGGGAAAUAGCAUGUAAGAAGCUUGGCCGCAACAAAUGUCUCCUAUGUGGGGGAAAAAACCUGUCUGCCCUCAUGAUGACUUGUGACCCUAUCUAGGACCCUGUUAACUGGGAUGCCCCAGCUAUGCUGUCCUAUAUUAGAUACUCGAGAAUCAGAUUGUGUGACAUAUUUAUCAGCAGCUUGCAGCUGUGGAGUAUGCCACAUGCAUUAUGCGGGCUGAUUGCCAGGAUCUGACACACCUCUUCUGAGUCAGAAAAUUAAAGUGUAAGGGGAGGGGAGACUGGGCAAGGCAAGGAAGACAGAUGACUCAUAACAGAGAGAGAGCCCAUCAUCCUUGGAAGGUGCAAGGCCCUGAAAUUUUGGGAGUCCUAACUGGUUGUUUCUUUGAAAUAAGCAAUGUCAUUGCUGGGUCUCUUGAGAUCAGGGUGUGCAAACCUUCCACACAGCUGAUGGAUUUAGGGUCUCCCAGGAGAGGUUCUUAGUGUUCCUAACAUUCUCCAGAGAAUUUAAAUUUUAAUUCAUUUAAAAAAAAUUCUAACUCUUCUGGUUGUGAGAAAACCUUCCAAAUUCGCUGUCUGAAGGAGUGUGCAGAUGGACUUUACCAAUGCCACUGAACGUCCCCUGCUCAUCUCCGUGGCGCUGCUGGCUCGGAAGCCCGAUGACCAUUUAAAUGUCAGUAUUGUUAGUGUAACCCUUCUGCCAGUCGGAGUUGGCAGCAACAAGGGCUGGGUUCAGUAUGUAGGGGUUCCUUUUCAAUAACAUAAUGCAAAACUGGCUUGAGCCCCCACCCAGUGACCUGGGACAAUUACAUACCACCCCCCUGCGCGCCUCUAAGAGGCAAUACUUCCCCUCUCGCAAGCACAGAGUCCCGAGUGUAGCAAAAGCCUUUCAAUAAAGGAGGGAAACAAUGUGGCAUUAUGUUGGGGAAACACCACGAACAGGAUUCAUAACACAAACCAUGAGCAAAAGACCCAUCCCCAAGUAAGUUUGGCAGUGUCCCUUUCCCCCUUAAGUCCAGCAACCCAAAAGUCACCCCACCCACAGUUUCUGUCCUUGAUCAGUGCAGCCCCAGAGUUCAGAAGAUUUUUAGAACAACUUAUAUUCUGUGAAACAUUUUGGUUUGGUUUGGUUUUUCCGACCUUUCAUCCUACUUGAGGAUGAAAACAAAUAUUGAAAAAAAUCAGAUUGUUCUAGAGCAUGGAAAUUCCAUUUUUCUAUCAACCGUAGAACUCAUUAACCAGUUUGUCCCCAUAGAAAUAAUUAAAAGGGGAAGCAAGAGUAAAGUAAACAUUUUUUAAGUUUCAUUAUUUUUCUGUCUUUGAGGUAUGAGAAGCUGCUGGUUUUGGAAACUGAUAUUUUCACGACUUGGUGGGUAGAAAGCAACUAAAAAUGACAGUUUUUGUGCUCAGCUGCAACCUUGCCUCUGUAUAAACAGAGCUCAAAGCCAUAAAAAUAAGGUAACGGCCAAUUUUGCAAAAAGUGUAGCUUUAUUUUUGUUGUUGUUUUCAUUGUGGUUUAGCAAGGUGGGUAGCUUUUGUUGUUUCUUCAGGAAAUGAGCUGUCGACUGUAAGCAGUUUGCUGUCCCUAGUAUCUGGUUGCCCCUGACACCUGCGUGAACUGGUUAUAUAUAGGUGAUAGUUCUAGAAAUGCACACAGGUUAGUCAGAUCAUGACAUUCACGCCAGCAGCUGCAGUUCAUGUAAUGGGUAUAGCUGUUUGGAAACUGGAAUUUCCAUUUUGUGGGAAAUUCCAACAUUUCAAAAUGUGUUCAGAAUAAAAAGCCAAAAUGUCAACUUCCCCCCGAAACGAAAACUGAGAAAAAUGUUGAUUUGGAAUGACUGAAACACUUCCUUUAGAUAAUGUUGAAACAUUAUAAAGUAACAUAAAAUAGUAUAAUAUAUAUUAUACAAUAUUUUUAGUGUUAUGCUGUACCAGUCAAAAUGAAAUUAAUCAAAAAGAUAGUAAAAACUAAACAUUUUACCUUAUCGAAACAAGGAAGUCAAAAAGAUUUCUUUUGCCUUUUUCCCAUCAAACAUGUUGUCAAAAAUCGACACUACCUGCCAAACCUUUUGAUCAAUGAAACUGCAUUUUGACAAAAAAAUUGUUCCAUCAAAAAAUUUUCUGACAUCUCUACUAGUGAGACUCCACUCCGUCCUCUGAGGUAUAAAUUGUAAAGGAGCAGAUGGUGCAUAAAAUGGAGGUACUGACUCUGCUAUGCAUGCUGCAGCAAUGCUACCCAUCGUGCAAAACCACAUUUGCUCUGAAUGAACAUAGACCAAAUGGGACUCAGCUGAGGACAAGAACAGCCAGAGUCAGCAGCUCAUUUCCCACAUAGUGAAACAUUGUUUCCACUGGACCAACGGAACUGUGCAAUUCCAAAGCAAAGAAGCAUUGGCCAUGGACAUAUUAAUGAUAUAGAAGCAGGUUUAUUGUAGUUAGCACAUGCCCUUCCCCAUCAUAACAUGCAAUCUGCAUGCUUUAUAACUCUCAGAAAUAAAAGAGGUUAUUAAUCUAUUUGGUUCUUGUUGACCUUAACACAGCUGUUAGAAGUCCUCCAGUCUGGUCCUGUCCAUCAUUCCACAUUUCCAGAGGCAUUAUGAGUUUAUGACAUGUGCUUGGCCUGGAAGCCAGGAAUGAGGAGGAAAUGAUAUGUUCCUCCAGCACUUUCUUAUGAGAACAUCCUUUCAGUAACUUAUGGCUGGGGUCUCGGGUAAAUCCUGCCUUUCAGAUGUGGAUUAAGUAAUGUAUAUUCCAAUGUUAUCAAUGAAUAUUCUUCUCUCUGCUGAUUGCAGCACAUGAAGACAGUUUGAGAGCUACAUUUUUUAACAGUGGCUGCCAGCAGGAUCUCAGUUUGGUUUAAAUUUAUUUUGCUAUUAUCCUAGCCCAAGGUACUGAUAGACGUACUUUAAGUGGCAGCACCAGGCUUAUCCUUGCAUCAUCGCACCGACUCACUGAGUGACCUCAACCAUUUAUCAAGGAUUGUUAACUCGCAACCAGAUUCUGGUAGGUGAAGGUAAACUUAACAUCUGCAUUUUCUCUCUGAGCUGAAUUCUGGUCCAUGUUGCUUUGACAAAGUAAAACAGACCUAAAAUAUAUAUAUUGCAUUUUGCUGUUCAUCUGAAAAUCUCAAAAUGCUUUACCAAGCCGUCUCCUGUUGUUCACAUUUUACAGAUGGGGAAACUGAGGUACAGAGCAUUGACAUAAUAUGCACAAAGGCCCACAGUAAAUCUGUAGCAGAGCCAGGACUAGAACAGAUCUCCUGGCUCCCAGUUUUGUGAUCUAAACAGAGACCACCCUGCUUCCUUCUUAUGUGCUAUAUAGUACUAUGAAAAUUCCUUCCCCUCCAGGAAUCUUGCAGAUUAAAUGGGCAGCUACAAUUGAUAUGUGACAUAAUUUAUUUCAAUUUUGGCUGUGGAACUGACUCAACUGUAAAAUAAAGAGUUGAUGUUCUAAAUACUCCAAUGGCCAGCAGUGUUUCUAGUUACACAUAGUAAAGAACUGCUCAGGGACUCCGAGAGCACAAUUCAUUCCCUAAUGUUUCUAUACUUUACUUAAAACAGGCCCUGUAUUGCAAUCGAUUCUCUGCUACCUCCAGAUGCAGGCUGUUUGCAUCACUCUUCUAUUCAGGUUCUCCAUGCCGGAGGGAUCUGCUCAAGAGGCUCAAAGUGACUUUAGUUGGGCUGAAGACCUGGCCCUGUGUCUUUGAGGAAAUUUGUUGCCUUUCUCCUGGCCUCAGGCUCUGUGAAUACAACAAGGUACUGAGCAGCUGGAUGGAAGGAGAAAGACCCUGCCCCUUCACCAUCACUUUUUUGUGGGUGUUUCUCCAUCAUGUACCAAUUAGCAUGUCCAGAAUUUUCCCACUCAUGAAAUCAAGGUGACCUUUUACUAACUUCUGGGAACAGAAUUGCUUUUCUUUCUUCAGUCUGUGCACGCUUCCCCUAAUUUGUUUUGAAUGUUUAAAGAGCUGUUAAAUGAUCCCGUAUCUCAUCUGGUGUUUCUGGCAUGGAUCUCAACUGGACUUAGAUUUUAUUUCACUCUUCAGAUUUCCUUUAUCAAUAAAUUACUGUACUUGCACUAUC